CAGUCUUUGCCCUUCAAUGCCAUAGAUUUGUCCUCAUCGAUGAACAAUGAUGGAAGCUCAGCAAGCACAGGCUUGGACUCUUGUCAAGAGCCAAGUUUAGAGUCAAGUUUGGAUUCUGCACAGCGGCUCAAUGCAGGGACCCCAGAGGUAUUUUACAGAGUGACACGCUUGGAAUCAAUGAACAGGUAUUUUGUAGGUUUAGAAACGUGUACCAUAUGUGACACGGAAUUCUAUUCAAUUUCUGUUCUGUCCUCAACACUUGUGCUCUGCCCUGUAUAUUGACAGAUAGUUCAACAGCCCUUUCUUAUUAACACUCUGGAGAAAGUUUUGUCCUUUAUGAAGGUUUGAACAUAAGAAGCUUUUUCUCCAGCAAAACUCUAUGGGAAAUACAGAAAGCAAAUAAACGAUUUGUCACUUUUACUCUACGGACACCAAUGUGAAUGAAUAAGAAAUUAAGGAGAUCCACAUGCAUGAAUUAAAUCACAAUACAUCUGUAGAUAAAUCAAAAUGCAGUACAUCUAUGAUGCAAAUGGUUUGAGAGUCUGGAGUUCCAGUAUGUAAUUAUGAUUUGGGUAAUCUGAUUUUUAGGACUCGUGUGGAUGACUUUUUUAUUGAUGAUUCUGAAGAAGAGAGGUCAGAUGAUGACCUCAUGGCAGUUGCUUAUGAAAA